UGCAGUCGAGCGGAUGAAGGGAGCUUGCUCCUGGAUUCAGCGGCGGACGGGUGAGUAAUGCCUAGGAAUCUGCCUGGUAGUGGGGGAUAACGUCCGGAAACGGGCGCUAAUACCGCAUACGUCCUGAGGGAGAAAGUGGGGGAUCUUCGGACCUCACGCUAUCAGAUGAGCCUAGGUCGGAUUAGCUAGUUGGUGGGGUAAAGGCCUACCAAGGCGACGAUCCGUAACUGGUCUGAGAGGAUGAUCAGUCACACUGGAACUGAGACACGGUCCAGACUCCUACGGGAGGCAGCAGUGGGGAAUAUUGGACAAUGGGCGAAAGCCUGAUCCAGCCAUGCCGCGUGUGUGAAGAAGGUCUUCGGAUUGUAAAGCACUUUAAGUUGGGAGGAAGGGCAGUAAGUUAAUACCUUGCUGUUUUGACGUUACCAACAGAAUAAGCACCGGCUAACUUCGUGCCAGCAGCCGCGGUAAUACGAAGGGUGCAAGCGUUAAUCGGAAUUACUGGGCGUAAAGCGCGCGUAGGUGGUUCAGCAAGUUGGAUGUGAAAUCCCCGGGCUCAACCUGGGAACUGCAUCCAAAACUACUGAGCUAGAGUACGGUAGAGGGUGGUGGAAUUUCCUGUGUAGCGGUGAAAUGCGUAGAUAUAGGAAGGAACACCAGUGGCGAAGGCGACCACCUGGACUGAUACUGACACUGAGGUGCGAAAGCGUGGGGAGCAAACAGGAUUAGAUACCCUGGUAGUCCACGCCGUAAACGAUGUCGACUAGCCGUUGGGAUCCUUGAGAUCUUAGUGGCGCAGCUAACGCGAUAAGUCGACCGCCUGGGGAGUACGGCCGCAAGGUUAAAACUCAAAUGAAUUGACGGGGGCCCGCACAAGCGGUGGAGCAUGUGGUUAAUUCGAAGCAACGCGAAGACCUUACCUGGCCUUGACAUGCUGAGACCUUUCCAGAGAUGGAUUGGUGCCUUCGGGAACUCAGACACAGGUGCUGCAUGGCUGUCGUCAGCUC
rnacentral:rRNA from 1 species